AAGAAUUGUGUUUGUUUGCCAGCACCUCACACCGCAUGUUGCUGCAUCUUAGUUUAGUUUUAAUCCCAGGUAAACUGCCAAAUGCAAUUCACGCACAAACUGCCUCGUCUAGAAAUUAAAUUAUCCGUCGGGUGGUAUUUGUGAGCAGUAGAAGUGACUCGAUUCAGGGCACCAUACGAGGCUAGCGGUAAAAUGACUCGUGUUCAGGGCACCGUAGGAAUCCGCGAAAAGGUGAUUUUUUCACCCGUUCGCGUGAAAUGUUUGUAUUUUUUCGGGUUUGCGCACGAUCUAGGCGGCUCACUAACGUCAGCGUGGUGUUUAAAGAUGCGGAAUUAAAUUCUUCAUUGGGUUGUAUUUGUUUGUUGCAGAAAUUCGGUCUGCAACCCGCUAAAAAUCGCAUAAAAGGGUGACUUUUGUCACCCUUUCUCGUGAAAUGUUUGUAUUUUUCGGAUUUACGCGCGAUCUAGACUGCGCACUAACUUCAGCGCGGUGUUUAGAGAUGCGAAAUUAAAUUCUCCGUCGGGUGCUAUUUGUGUGUUGCAGGAAUUCGACUUGCAACCCGCGAAAAUUCGUAUAAAUGGGUGAAUUUUUCACCUCGAUGUCGUGAAAUGUUUUUAUUUUUUCGGGUUUGCGCGCGAUCUAGGUGGCUCACUAACUUCAGCGUGGCGUCUGCAGAUGCGGAAUUAAAUUCUCCAUUGGGUUAUAUUUGUUUUGCAAGAAUUCGGUCUGCAACCCGCGAAAAUUCGCAUAAAAGGUGAUUUUUGUCACCUUUUCUCGAGAAAUGUUUGUAUUUUUUCGGAUUUGCGCGCGAUAUAGGCGGCUCACUAAUUUUAGCGCGGUGUUUAGAGAUGCGGAAUAAAAUUCUCUAUCGGGUGGUAUUUGUUUGUUUUACCUUUAGAGAAUUCUCCAAUCAUUCAUAUUCUUUGAUCCGUUGGUCGCUUGAGAUUUUAGUUUAAAAAGGGAGGGCAGCGGUCGAAGUGACUCGUAUUCAGGACACCGUACAAGGGUUGUUAAUUUCAAGUACUUAUAGCGUCUGUCCUGGGCAGGAUUUCACGGGUGCUUAAGAACGUUGACUUGCUCGCAACGAUCGGAUCAUGUGGGUCAAAAUGCCACUUGCAAUGCAAGACCAUUAUCUGACGGAACUGACAAGUGUGAAGCAUAGUGCGAGAUCUUAUAUACGUGUUCUUUUGUUUCAGUACUUCCUUUGAUUACCUGCAACAUUGAGAGUCGGACAUCGUAGAAAGACCAUUUUUGCAUCAGAUUGGAUUUUGCACCUGAGUCUGACAUCGUAGAAGGACCAUUUAUGCAUCAGAUUGGAUUUUGCACCUGAGUCUGACAUCGUAGAAGGACCAUUUUUGCAUCAGAUUGGAAUUUGCACCUGAGUCUGCCAUCCUAGAAGGACCAUUUUUGCAUCAGAUUGGAUUUUGCACCUGAGUCUGACAUCGUAGAAGGACCAUUCUUGCAUCAGAUUGGAUUUUGCACCUGAGUCUGACAUCGUAGAAGGACCAUUUUUGCAUCAGAUUGGAUUUUGCACCUGAGUCUGACAUCGUAGAAGGACCAUUUUUGCAUCAGAUUGGAUUUUGCACCUGAGUCUGACAUCGUAGAAGGACCAUUUUUGCAUCAGAUUGGAUUUUGCACCUGAGUCUGACAUCGUAGAAGGACCAUUCUUGCAUCAGAUUGUAAGUAUUAAAUUUCUUUAUCAUUUUCCUAAAUAACUUUUGUGAUUAUUUCACAAAUUGACCCCCAAAAUUGCAUUUUUAUGUUCGAAGGACUAAUUUUUGAUGGUUUUAGGGAUUUUGCACCUGAGUCUGACAUCGUAGAAGGACCAUUCUUGCAUCAGAUUGGAUUUUGCACCUGAGUCUGACAUCGUAGAAGGACCAUUUUUGCAUCAGAUUGGAUUUUGCACCUGAGUCUGACAUCGUAGAAGGACCAUUCUUGCAUCAGAUUGGAUUUUGCACCUGAGUCUGACAUCGUAGAAGGACCAUUCUUGCAUCAGAUUGGAUUUUGCACCUGAGUCUGACAUCGUAGAAGGACCAUUUUUGCAUCAGAUUGGAUUUUGCACCUGAGUCUGACAUCGUAGAAGGACCAUUCUUGCAUCAGAUUGGAUUUUGCACCUGACUCUAACAUCGUAAAAGGACCAUUCUUGCAUCAGAUUGUUAGUAAUAAAUUUCAUUAUCUUAAAUAACUUUUGUGAUUAUUACACAAAUUGACUCCCAAAAUGUAUGCUUGUGUGUUUUCUUUAAUAAAGAAUAUUUUAAAGUU